rnacentral:lncRNA from 1 species
AGGAGUAUGUACAAAAGAAAUAUAGAAGGAAAAUAUGCAGAAGCAUGAAGCUGCAGGUGAGACCAGGAGAGAAUAGACCCAUCAGACACAGGAAACUGCAUGUGAGGCUAGGAGAGGGCAGAACUGUGGAUGUCCUCACACACCUGAACUGCAAGAAAGAACUAUAAGAUACUAUGACAAAUACAUAAAGUAGAUUAGAGGAAAAGAUGGAUUGAAUAAAUGAGCAACUGAUACACAAAAA